CUUUUCUUUUUGUUUGUGCAUAUGUGUUAAAUGCUCUUCAUCCCCUGACUUCCACAAUGUUCGAGUGCUUCCCCUUGCAGAGCAGCCCGUCGCAUGGAGGGUCUUGUAUUAUUUCUUUAACAACUUGGCAAUUUGACUUGUAUAUAUUUAGUGCAUGAGAUUUGGUUUUCAUCCAAUGCCAUUUGUAAGCGCAUAUGCAAUCCUGGUGAUUCUUGGUUGCGUUACGAACGCAUUAUUCAAAUUAUUCUUAUUUCUAU
rnacentral:misc_RNA from 1 species